rnacentral:rRNA from 1 species
GGAAACAGUGGCUAAGACUGGAUAGGAAGAUAAAAGGCAUCUUUUAUCUUUUAAAAGACCUAGUAAUAGGUAUGCUUUAGGAGGGGCUUGCGCCAUAUUAGUUAGUUGGUAGGGUAAUGGCCUACCAAGACGAUGAUGUGUAGCUGGACUGAGAGGUUGAACAGCCACAUUGGGACUGAGACACGGCCCAAACUCCUACGGGAGGCAGCAGUAGGGAAUUUUCGGCAAUGGAGGAAACUCUGACCGAGCAACGCCGCGUGAAUGACGAAGUACUUCGGUAUGUAAAGUUCUUUUAUCAAGGAAGAAAAGCAAAUGGCGAACCAUUUGUUUGCCGGUACUUGAUGAAUAAGCCCCGGCUAAUUAUGUGCCAGCAGCCGCGGUAAGACAUAAGGGGCAAGUGUUAUCCGGAAUUAUUGGGCGUAAAGGGUGCGUAGGCGGUCUAGUAAGUCAGUGGUGUAAUGGCAACGCUUAACGUUGUCCGGCUAUUGAAACUGCUAAACUUGAGUUAGAUAGAGGCGAGUGGAAUUCCAUGUGUAGCGGUAAAAUGCGUAAAUAUAUGGAGGAACACCAGAGGCGUAGGCGGCUCGCUGGGUCUUAACUGACGCUGAGGCACGAAAGCGUGGGGAGCAAACAGGAUUAGAUACCCUGGUAGUCCACGCCGUAAACGAUGAGUACUAAGUGUCGGGUUAAACCGGUACUGAAGUUAACACAUUAAGUACUCCGCCUGAGUAGUACGUACGCAAGUAUGAAACUUAAAGGAAUUGACGGGACUCCGCACAAGCGGUGGAUCAUGUUGUUUAAUUCGAAGAUACCCGAAAAACCUUACCAGGUCUUGACAUGUUUUUGCAAAAUGAUAGUAAUAUCGUGGAGGUUACCAGAAACACAGGUGGUGCAUGGUUGUCGUCAGCUCGUGUCGUGAGAUGUUAGGUUAAGUCCUAAAACGAGCGAAACCCUUAUCGUUAGUUGCCAGCACGUUAUGGUGGGGACUUUAACGAGACUGCCAAUGAUAAAUUGGAGGAAGGUGAGGAUCACGUCAAAUCAGCAUGCCCCUUAUGACCUGGGCUACAAACGUGAUACAAUGGCUGUUACAAAGGGUAGCUGAAACGCAAGUUCUUGGCCAAUCCCCAAAAACAGUCCCAGUCCGGAUUGAAGUCUGCAACUCGACUUCUUGAAGUUGGAAUCGCUAGUAAUCGCGAAUCAGCAUGUCGCGGUGAAUACGUUCUCGGGGUUUGUACACACCGCCCGUCAAAC